rnacentral:lncRNA from 7 species
CAUUUGGGGCUGUAGGCGUCUUAGUUUGGGAGCGCAGUGGUAUGUGGGGGGAGAGAGUGUCUUCUUUUAGGGAGCACAGUGGUGUUUUGGGGAGAAAAGUCUGAUUUGGGGGUGAAGAGUGGUUUUGUGGUCGGGAAAAUGCCUUCUUUUCUUGACGAAAGUGAGAUUUGGGUCGAGAAAGUCUCAUCUAUGGAGGAGAAAAGAGGUCCGAGGGGAAGAAACGGUCGUAUUUUUGGGAGAAAAGUGGCGUUUUUGAGAGGAGAGAUCGUAGUUUUGGAGAAGAGUGGUAUGGUGUGGGAAGAAAAAUGGCCCCACAGUUAAGCAUCAUCUCCCACAAAAUACCACCUUUCAAACGAAAAA